GCUGCGGUGGCCCGGCUCCGCCGGAAGGGGGCGCCGCCGGGCCACAGCCCUGUUCUCCAGGCGCCCGCGCUCCCGCGCGCGGCAAAGGUGGGCUCGGAGAGGACCUGGGCGAACCAAGCCCGGGACUGAAAGGGCUGCUGGGUGUCUUGCCUCGCCGAGCCACACAGGGCUUCGCGGGCGCAAAAGGGCGAGAUUUGGGUCCCGUGCUAAUAGUGGUCUGACCCGAGACUCAUCCAGGGAAAUGGAGUCACAGAGUUCGAGGACCGGGCAGCCUUGUCCGCAUCCCGCCCCCUCCCGGGUGCAAUUCCUCACAGGCCCAGGAAGUCGCCCAGGAACACACAGCUGGUCAGUUCCUGGGACAUAAACGUGCUGACAACUUUAUGUAUUUGUUACUCUGAAGUAACCAUGACAAUGUCUACAUCAGCUGCUGUAAUUUGAGGCAGGAACCAUACAGACUGUUCUUCCAAGCAAUUCUCUAACGGUUUGCAUAACUGUCCUUCCGAGAGAGAGAGAG